rnacentral:rRNA from 1 species
AUACGUAGGGUGCGAGCGUUGCCCGGAAUUACUGGGCGUAAAGAGCUCGGAGGUGGUUUGUCGCGUCGUCAGUGAAAUUCCGGGGCUUAACUCCGGGCGUGCAGGCGAUACGGGCAUAACUUGAUUAAUGUAGGGGAGACUGGAAUUCCUGGUGUAGCGUUGAAAUGCACAGAUAUCAGGAGGAACACCGGUGGCGAAGGGGGGUCUCUGGGCAGUAACUGACGCUGAGGUGCGAAAGCAUGGGUAGCGAACAGGAUUAGAUACCCUGGUAGUCCAUGCCGUAAACGGUGGGCGCUAGGUGUAGGGGUCUUCCACGACUUCUGUGCCGUAGCUAACGCAUUAAGCGCCCCGCCUGGGGAGUACGGCCGCAAGGUUGAAACUCAAAGGAAUUGACGGGG